GCUGGGCCUGGAGGCACAUGCCUGUAAUCCCAGAAACUCAGAGGCUGAGGCAGGAGAAUCACCAGUUGGAGGCCAGCUUGAGCAACUUAGGGAGACCCUGUCUCAA
rnacentral:sRNA from 1 species